rnacentral:misc_RNA from 1 species
AAUUUUUUAUUUACCUACUACAUAUAAAAUCAGUGCUACUACAAGGCAUAAGUAUUGAAUGUUUAUGGGUGAAAUGUAACUCUUUAAGUACACUCAAAAGUCAAGGAAUCAAACCGUAAUUUGAGGAACCAAAUGUAAUCAAAUCGAAGGCGACGAGAUUUCAUCACUCAUUCAUGUGUGCUACAAUUGAUGCACAAGCGACCCCCAAAACAUGGAACACGAAAAGGCAUUGCAUAUCACGUCUAUCCUGUAUCUCGUCGGUGGAGAUACCUCGCCUGUAGUAGAGGACAUAACCACAGAUGGACAUAACAAAACCUGUGCUGUUUGAACAAUCGAAUCUGCAAUGUGAUACAAUAAUCACUAGACUACAGAACCAACAUGGACGACUGUUAUACGAGACGAUACAAACUAUCCUAGAAUUUGUGAAAUCCUACGGUGACGUUUUUCUCUGAUAUACGAGAUUUUAUGGAUAACCACAAAUUUGUGGAACCUGAGAUGAAAAAUUUCAGCACCAUAGAAUCUAACACUGAUCACCCCAGGUUUAUGGAACGAAAUUAAUUUGGAUUAUUUCUUUUGAUCUAACAAUUUACAAAUUAUUGACAUUAUGGUAACAAGUAUGAUAAUAAACGAAAUGAAGUUUUAAAAGAAA